CUUGAACUCAAUAAGCCAAUUAAAAGUGGCUGCUGUGUCACAUAUGCAUCAGUAGAUGACAGAGAGGAGAGAGGCUAUGUCUAUGCUCAGUGUUCUGACCUGUGAACAUUUGAAUGAUUAGUAGACUAACAUU